rnacentral:rRNA from 1 species
UACGUAGGGUGCAAGCGUUAAUCGGAAUUACUGGGCGUAAAGCGUGCGCAGGCGGUUAUGCAAGACAGAGGUGAAAUCCCCGGGCUCAACCUGGGAACUGCCUUUGUGACUGCAUGGCUAGAGUACGGUAGAGGGGGAUGGAAUUCCGCGUGUAGCAGUGAAAUGCGUAGAUAUGCGGAGGAACACCGAUGGCGAAGGCAAUCCCCUGGACCUGUACUGACGCUCAUGCACGAA